CUCCCUACAGGCUACAGGAGUACAAGUAAUGAAGUUCACGGCGCAAUAGCUGAAGGGCUACGACGGCACUGAUCCGUCGAAACCGAUUUACGUGGCGAUUAAGGGCCGCAUCUUCUCACCACCGGCCGGAACUUCUACGGUCCCGGUGGGCCCUACUCCAUCUUCGAUGGCAAAGAUGAGCAAGAACGUGGAGGAUGUUUCCCCUUCCUCGAAGCUAAGUACCCUUAGAGUUGGUUAAUCAUAGUUGCUGUAAUCACCACUCUGAAUAUUUGCUUCUAUAGUUCUAUGCAUGAAUUGAAUGCCAGAAAUAAAUUAACUAAAAUAGUCUAACGGAGUCUGAAUCAUUAUAAAUCAAUCAAAUGUGAGCAUCUUAAUUAUCUACGAGGACUAUAGAAACAUGAAAUUGUGGUUGCUUGCCAGGGUUAUGUAUGUUGUUAUGUUCUACUGGUCUGUGUGGUCAACAACUUUUGUAUCAGAUCAGAUCAUGUUUCUCUAUUUAGAGAUAUAGAAGGAAACCAAUGAUCCUAGCUUUAUUAACUGGUUUCCUGGAGAAUUCAUCUAUAAAUGUUGGGGUGAGAUUCAAUGGAACUUUUUUAUCUAGUCUAGGAAGUGCAAGGUCUCUUAUUAUGGUUAAGAUAUUUUUAGUUAUACUAUGUCUGUAUAAAAUUUCAUUUGGAUGUUGACUUUUAAAGUUUUACAUAUAUGAAACUCGAAAGCAAAAAUGAUAUAUUUGAAUAUCAGCUUAAAAGAAUCAUUCAAAAUUUUGAAUUUGUGUUUAAUUUUAUAAUGUUAUAGUCCCAAAACAGAAAACAGUGAUUGAAAAACUGGAAAACCGGCCCUUGCUAUCAGUUACCUGAGUUUUAACAAUAAUGAGAACUAAGACAUUCGUUCUAACUUCCAAGACAGAUAAUAUCCAGAAGAGCCAGAUGAUACUUCUAAUCCUAAAAAGUAGUUGGAAGGCCCAAAUCCUUCAUUUCAAAAUGCUGAUGUAGGGUUGAAAGUUUCUAAGGGGAAAUGCUACCUAUUACAAAGGAAGGUACCCAAUUUAGUGCGUAUACAGCAGUUAAAGCAACCUCCACCCAAUUUUUUUUAAGACAGGAUGCAAAACUAAGCAAAACAUGGGUUUGCAUUGAGGAUGUGAUGGUGCUCAGGUGCUGUCUCUCUACAUUUCCAUUUUUGGCUGAAGUACUGUAAUCUCUUGUGGACUAUUGCACAUUUGCACUAAAAUAGUUAUCUCCCAUUGUACUGAUUAUUUAUCAAUUAUCACAAAUUCCUUAGUGAUUGGUUUUAGAGCAUCCUUAAUAGUAGAGUUCUUUUGUGGUUUUUGAGGAGUUUUUGUAAGUGUGAUUAGGAAAGAGAAAAUGGGAAGGGAGGAAAAAAAAACAAAUCUGAAAAAAAAAUAAAAAAAAAAUAAAAAAAUUAAAGCUUUGUCCGGCACGCCUAACGCACCAGCCACGCACGGUGUGCGAGGCUGAGGAACAUGCUGUGUGGGUCCCACUUUUUCUGAAAUAACUCUUGUUUUGCAGGAGAUCUAAUUACCCUCUCUCUCCUCCAUGUUGGAACUCACUUUCUAAAAAAUCGUGAAUGAACUCUCAAAAGAACUCUGAUGUAGAUGCUCUUACUCCGCAUUGAAAUAGUGAAAUUGGGCCAAGAUUGCAUAUGAAGCCUUCCCUGCCCAACCGAAUUGCUAGAAAGCCUAGAAUAUUCUAUUUGGUUUAUAAAUACAUUGCCAAGGUUUAACCCUAUCUCUGUAGGUGCUCGGUUAGAGCUUAUCCAAAAGCCGCAAAGUUGCCCUAGUCGAUAUUGAGGUGCCAUCGUUGUUCGCCAUUUGCCGCCAUCACUUCACCCAGACACCAUAACCAUUGUUGUCGGUCUUGCCCAACCAGGUUUCUCUUUAAGAAGUAUAUAUCGAGUAGACAGGCCAUUGAACAAAGAGUCUAAAGAGAUGGUAGAACACAAAUUGGGAGGUGUACCUCACUUCUGUGUGACUAUAAGGCAUGAUGAAAACCGGGAAAAAGUGAGCAUACCCCAAGAGAUGACAUACCUAGAUCUCCUUCCUAUUGAAAAAACAAUGAUUGUCCUCUGUGGUUUGAAGGUUGAGGUUUGGGUAGUGGGAGUUGCACCCAACAUCGGAGGCCACUCCAUUUCUGGCUGACAUAAAUUUGCCAAGGAAAACAACCAUGUGGGAGGAAAUGUAUGCAUAUUUGAGCUUAUAAUGAGGAAUGAACUGUUGGUCGAUGUGUUCAAUUGAAAGAGCAAAGAAAUUAGAUGUGGCCAAUCUGUAUUGUGGGUGGCACAAAAGUAGUGGGCGGUGAUGUGUUUUGUGUUGAAGGUUGAAGGUUGAAGGUUGAAGAAACUGGUGCUAAUAUUCUUGUUGAAAAUUGUCGAGUAUUAUAGCUGACAUUAUUAUGAUGUUGAGGUUAGGGUUAGCCGGUUAGGGAUGUACAUAAAUGAAUAGAGCAUGUUUGUGCUUAUUUGUUAAGAUUCUGUUCAUGUUCGUUUGUUUGGUCAA